rnacentral:rRNA from 1 species
GAUGAACGCUGGCGGCGUGCCUAAUACAUGCAAGUCGAACGCAUAGCGAAAGGUGCUUGCACCUUUCAAGUGGGUGGCGAACGGGUGAGUAACACGUGGACAACCUGCCUCAAGGCUGGGGAUAACAUUUGGAAACAGAUGCUAAUACCGAAUAAAACUUAGUGUCGCAUGACACAAAGUUAAAAGGCGCUUCGGCGUCACCUAGAGAUGGAUCCGCGGUGCAUUAGUUAGUUGGUGGGGUAAAGGCCUACCAAGACAAUGAUGCAUAGCCGAGUUGAGAGACUGAUCGGCCACAUUGGGACUGAGACACGGCCCAAACUCCUACGGGAGGCUGCAGUAGGGAAUCUUCCACAAUGGGCGAAAGCCUGAUGGAGCAACGCCGCGUGUGUGAUGAAGGCUUUCGGGUCGUAAAGCACUGUUGUAUGGGAAGAACAGCUAGAAUAGGAAAUGAUUUUAGUUUGACGGUACCAUACCAGAAAGGGACGGCUAAAUACGUG